CGGGUUCACAUCACUCUCCUGCCUCAGCCUCCUGAGUAGCUGGGACUACAGGCACCUGCCACCACACCCAGCUAAUUUUUUAUAUCUUUAGUAGAGACAGGUUUCACUGUGUUAGCAAGGACGGUCUCGAUCUCCUGACCUCAUGAUCUGCCCACCUCAGACUCCCAAACUGCUGGAAUUACAGGCAUGAGCCACCGUGCCCAGCCAUCUAAUACUAAUUUUUUAACCUAAUUUAGUUAUUUUACUUUUGACUGCUUUAGUCCAUCAGCAAUGUUAGUAAUACUUUGGUGUUUAUAUUGCAAGUCCUAAUACUCUUUGCAAACUUACUAAUAAACCUUUGUUACUGUAAACCAACACCCUCUCCAGGGAAGUUUCCUAUGUCCCUCCUACAUUUACACAUCAAAGCCAUAAUCUGAGUAGUGAUCUCUCUAAUAAUCAUUGCAUUAACAGUUGCUCUUAACAAGCAUCUCAAUUUGGCCCUAUUCUGAACCAUGCAGCCUAAUGUUCUCUGGUCAUUACUCAUACUCUUUUGUUGUUGUUGUUGCACUCUGCAGGCAACUCCACAACUACUAAACUCUACCAAUUCUUCCUAUGCCUCAAACCUGUUAGCUAGUCAUGAAUUCCUCUUCAUUCAGGGUGGGAAUGGCCUACUUGGCCACAAUACAAGAAUGGGCAACUUCUCAAGCCCAACUUAGCUUCACCUAUCAUCAGGACCUCUCUAUACAAAAACCUUCCCUCUGCUAACAUAAUAUUUUUAAUACAACCUAAAGCAGCUUUUAAAGAUUUUCUUAAACCCACCCCCAUUGAUUCAAGCCCCUUGUUCUCCCCUGCUACCCUCAUUGGCCAGGCACUCCUAUACAUCUGUGCUACUGUAAAUUCCAGAUCCAUUGUGGGUGCUUUAGACCCAGCACAAUGCAACACAACAAGCACCAUUAUUGAUAUUUCUCAAAAUUUUGUUUCACUAAAUAUUCUCAACAUCAAAUGAGAUUUUCUAUUCUCCCUCCAAAUGUUUUAACACCUGGACCAUUCAUCCAAAAUGAUGCCUCUGAGUUCUGCGUCAGUCACCCUUCUUGGAGUCAACCCAACCCAUGGUGUUGACCAAGCCAGUAUAAAUUAUGCAAAAGGUUUCAAGUCUUUAAUUUCUUUCAGAAAAUCCUUUUCUUUGACACUACUAGAAACAUGCCUAUGUUUAAAAAAAAAAAAAUAGGACCCAUGUCUGGCUCCCCUGGCAGCAGCAACUUUAGUGGCAGGAUCUCACAUGUCGGGUAGCCAACAAGGACCCUGGUCAAUGUUUGGAACUGACCUCACCUUCUGCAUCCAUUUUUAUCGACUACAGAACUUUACUUCCUGUGUGAAAUGCAGGCUUAUCUCUGUCUCUCUGGAAACUUGACGAGCACAAGCACUCUGGCUUCCUUCACCCCUAACAUUUCCAUUGUCCCGGUUGAUGCUUCCUUGCUGUUACCCUUUACUACCUCACACCAGAUCGACUAAGCAGUUUAUCUUUUUUUUUUUUUUUUCCUGAGUUUGGCAUCUCAGGUGCCACUAUAGGAAUAGCUGGCAUAAUUAUUGCCUCCUCAACUUACCAAAACCUGUCUCUGGAACUGACUCACAAAAUAAAAACUACUGCUCAGACUCUUACAGAGUGACACCAACAAGUUGAUUAUCUCGUGGCUGUAGUUUGAAAUUGUAGAGGUCUUGCUGCAGCUCAGGAAAGAAUCUGCCUUAUGCUAGGAGAAAAAUGCUGUUUCUGGGUUAACAGAUUAGGGAAAGUCCAGGACCAUGUUAGAGGUUUUACAAACCAGGCCUGUCACCAUCAGAAACAUGCCACUGAAAGCUAGUUCUCUUGGGGUGCCACUUGGUUCCAAUUCUCAUGACAUCCCACUUUUUGGGGAUCCCUAGCCUUUGUCUUCCUUUCUCUCUUUUGUGAGCCUUGCUCACUAAAUCUAGUAACCAGGUUCGUUUCCUCUCACCUAGAAACUCUCAGACUUCAAAUGGUCCUGCAACAGGAAUAUCGACCUAUUUUCCCCCAAUCUGCACAGCCAUGUCCCUACACAUUUCCUCUGGACAAUGCAAGUUCAACCUUCUGGGAGAACAUGGAUGGAAUCUUUUUCUGACAAAAAGCAAGAGAAUGAGAUACUGAUGAAUUCUUUAUCUCAUAUUACCAGGAAGUAGUUACAGAAGACCCACAGUGCCCCUAGACUCAAAGAUUUUUGGAGUCUCAAUCUAUUGAGGAGGGAACGUUAGAGGAGGCAGUUAGACAUGAGCAGGAAAAAGCCCCUGGGGGAGAAAAAUCUCAUGCUCCAAAGACAACCCAAGAUAUGUACGCUAAAUUUGAGCAGAGUGGACAGGAAAUACCCAUGAAGAAAGAAUACCCAGAAACACCCCUUAAGACACCCAAUAAUUGCUCAUACUGUGAUUAAACUGUCAGAAUGUAGCUAGCUAUAUGCUGACAAAAAGAGGGAAAGGGCAAAAGGAAACUUCCUAAGAGAUAUGCAGGCGUAGUAAGUACAGAUUUGACUGCUAUAUGACUUUCCUAGGGUAGUGGUAAUAAGCUAUUCUGCCAUCAAAACUCAUUGAUCACUGGAACUCACACAUGUACAUCAGCCGACAGUAAGGAAGCAUCUCAUAGACCUGGGAAGAAACUCAGUGAGGAUAAAAGAAGAGAUUUACCAGGAAGCAGGAAACUCCACAAAGACAAAGGCAGACACUUAAGACAGAGGUGGGAAUUUUUUUUAAGUCUAUAAUAAUAAAAACUGCAACAUGUAAAUCUCAGGGCUGUUUCCAGCUGAGCCAAUCCACUCCUCCUUUGGUGUGUUCUUUAUUUUCCUUUAAUGAACUCUCUGCUUGCUUCACUAAUUGUCUCUGGGCUGAAUUGUUUCUCUCAAGAAAACAAUAGCUGAGGACCUUAUAUAUGCUGAAUUACAUUAAUGGAAUUAAUGAAUGUUUGAAUUCAAUAGCUGCCAUAAUCGCCUAAUUUUUUCUAGAGAAGGUGACCAAGAACUUGGAUAAAGUUAGAUGACUAAAAAUAAAAACUGUACCCCAUGAACUGCAUCCACCAAAACAAAUUUCAAACUCAAGAUUGCAAUACGAAUCUCAACAAAAAAAGAUCAUUGCAGAUUUUGAAUCUACACAGAUCAUUCUAUUAUUUUUGCAACACUUAACAUUUAGUCAAAAAUAGAAGAUUCUGCAUAAAAAAUAAGUUUUGCUAUGUCAUAGAAAAUUAUAUGUAAAAUUCUUCAUCUACCAUUAAGUCUUAAAAAUUUUAUUUCAAAGAUAUAUUUUAAGAGAUUUCAAACUUCUGAUGUGUUUCUUCAUAUGGUGCUUACAAUCUGCAACCAACUUAUAUUUAUGCUUUAAUAUAUAUUAAGGUAUGUUACAUUUAACACACUUUGUGUUAGAUUCUCAUACAAUUUUUCUUUUACAAAGAGAAAAACGGUGCUCACUUAAUCCUCUUACAUGUGGACAGUGAAUUAGUCUUACCUCAAUUACAUGAUCUGAAUGUUGCAUUGAUAAGCUAUAAUCUCAAACACGCCAGUUAAAAACAAUAUACAUUAAAAAUUCCAAACUUCUCAUCAGAGCCUAGAAAGUCCAAGUGAAAUUACAUGGCAUGAAGAGAACAGUGAGGAAACUGUAGCCAUAACACAAAGAAGAGCAGUGAAGCAUACAUAGCUGGGGAUAAACACAUGAAGACAUCAGAAAACUAAAGACAAUUAGAAAAUAAAAACAGAGGCCAGGUGCAGUGGCGGAUGCCUGUAAUCCCAGCACUUUUGGAGGCCGAGGUAGGUGGAUCACCAGGUCAAGAGAUCAAGACCAUCCUGGCAACACGGUGAAACCCUGUCUCUACUAAAACUACAAAAAUUAGCUAGGUAUGGUGGUGUGCACCUGUAGUCCCACCUACUUGGGAGGCUGGGGCAGGAGAAUCGCUUCAACCCAAGAGGCGGAGGUUGCGCUGAGCCAAGAUCAUGCCAUUGCACUUCAGCCUGGUGACAGAGUGAGACUGUCUCAAAAAACAAAAAAAGAAAUAUAAGGAAAAUUAAAUGUUCCAAUAAAAUAUAACUAUACACAUUGUAAAAUUACAUCUAAAAAGUAUUUUCUGUGCACUAACUUUUUAAAAAAAUUUUAUAAUUUCUGACCAGCCCACAUACUUUAUGGAGUUAAAAAAAAAGAAUGAGAAACAAGAAAAUUAUACCUCUAGCAUGAGCACCACAUUAAAACAGAGACUUUUUACAGGGAGAUUCUCAAAAAUGAUCCAUUAGAUUUUACAGUAAUUACAUAAAAAUAAGAAAACAUAGAUUUUAAUUCAAAAUGUUUUAGGUUUCUAGAUUUCCAGUAAAUUAUCCACAGUAUUAAUAGAAACUUCUUUGUUCCAAUAUUGCUAUUUUCUUCGGAAAAUAGGUACAAACUCUCAUGCAAACACAAUUGCUUGCUUCAUAAUUUUCUUACACCCAAGGUUUAUCUUUAGAGCACAACAUUUAUAUAUUUAACUCCAUGUAAAUUAAAACUAAGUCUGUAUGUUUACAGGAGAACAUGAUGCAUGUCCAAAGAUAAAUAUGAAACAUUUUUGAAAAUCAUUCAGGACUCAGGAAUGUAUGAAUUAUAAUUAUACUCUGAUAUACUUAUUACAAUCAUAAAAUGACCUGUAGUAGAAAAAAUUGUACAUUUAAAAAUAAUUGAAGUGUAUAAUUAGAUUGUGGGUAAUAUAAAAGAUAAAUGCUGGAGAAACCCCAACUCUACUAAAAAUACAAAAUUAGCCAGGUUGCCAGGCGCAGUGGCUCACACCUGUAAUCCCAGCACUUUGGGAGGCUGAGGCAGGCAGAUCACGAGGUCAGGAGAUCGAGACCAUCCUGGCUAACACGGUGAAACCCCGUCUCUACUAAAAAUACAAAAAAUUAGCCAGGCGAGGUGGCAGGCGCCUGUAGUCCCAGCUACUUGGGAGGCUGAGGCAGGAGAAUGGUGUGAACCCUGGGGGGCGGAGUCUGCAGUGAGCCAAGAUCACGCCACUGCACUCCAGCCUGGGUGACAGCGAGACUCCGUCUGGGGGGGGGGGGGGGGAAUUAGCCAGGCAUGGUGGCACAUGCCUGUGAUCCCAGCUACUCAGGAGACUGAUUUAGGAGAAUUGCUUGAACCUGGGAGGUGGAGGUUGCAGUGAGCCAAGAUCGCACCAUUGCACUCUGGCCUGGGCAACAAGAACGAAACUCUGUCCCAAGAAAAAGAAAAAGAAAAAAAAAAGAUAAAUGCUUAAGAUAAUGAAUAACUCAUUUACUCUGUCAUUUAUAUAUUGUAUGCCUGUAUCAAAAUAACCCAUAUAUACCAUAAAUAUAUACAUAGUUAUGUACCCACAAAAACUUUUUAAAAAUUUAAAUAAGAAUAAAAAUGCAACAUGGGAACAAUAUUCAGUUUACUUGCUGUUUAAAGCCAUUGGAAAAAUAGACUAGAAAUGUCAUUCAGCUAUGUUAUCAGAUAGUACAUUGUUAGCAUCUCUUACCUACACCCUUGAGUAAGGUGGAAUAGGUGAAAGUUGGUGGCAUAACACAUCAUUCAAGGCACAAUAAUUUCUACACAUUAAUAAUUUUAUUUAAAAAAUUAAGGCCAGGCGCGAUGGCUCACGCGUGGAAUCCCAGCACUUUGAGAAACUGAGGCGGGUAGAUCACCAGGUCAGGAGCUCAAGACCAGCCUGGUCAAUAUGCUGAAACCCUGUCUCUACUAAAAAUACAAAAUGUGGCCAGGCCUGGUGGUGUGUGUCUGUAAUCCCAGCUACUCAGGAGGCUGAGGCAAGAGAAUCACUUGAACCUGGGAGGCGGAGGUUGCAGUGAGCCAAGAUUGUGCCACUGCACUCCAGGCUGGGCAAUAGAUUGAGACUCCGUCUCAAAAAAAAAAAAUUAAGUUCACACAUGAUCUUAAAAGACAAUUUUAAAAUUUACAGCAUUUUAUUAUUAAAUAAAUGUACAAUUGGUAAAACAAUUUACUACUAAAAUUCAGAUUGUUUCUCACAAUAAUGCAAAAUGUUACUCUGAACACCUACUUCAUGCAUCACUCUAAGUCAACCACAAAAAUCCUCUCUGCUUAGAUUUUCCUCAGGCAUCUUUCAUUUGUUUUUUCUCUUUCAUGUAAAAGUUCAUGAAUACUGCCCACCUAAUGGAAUUUCUCAUAUCUCUGGUGCAGCAAUAAUUCAUCACAUGCUUUCACAUAAAUGAGAAAACUGAAAUACUAUAAUUUUGGAUUUGAAUUAUUUGCUUUUCAAAAAAUCUAUACUUUUUUUCAAGUAAAAAAAUAUACUUUGAACGAAAUCUCUUCAAAAAUCUACUUCUUUUCAACUUAUAUACGCAGAACCUUUUUUUUUUUUUUUGAGGUGGAGUCUUGCUCUGUUGCCCAGGCUGGAGUGCAGUGGCACGAUCUCGGCUCACUGCAAGCUCCGCCUCCCAGGUUCAAGCCAUUCUCCUGCCUCAGCCUCCUGAGUACCUGGGACUACAGGCGCCCGCCACCACGCCCAGCUAAUUUUUUGUAUUUUUAGUAGAGAUGGGGUUUCACCAUGUUGGCCAGGAUAGUCUCGAUCUCCUGACCUCGUGAUCCGCCCGCCUCGGCCUCCCAAAGUGCUGGGAUUACAGGCGUGAGCCACCGUGCCCGGCCAACAAAGAAAGUUUCUAACAGGUUGAACUUUGGAUUUUUUUACACUUAAUACUCCGAUUUCUUGUAAGGUGUUAGUUCCUUAGUUCUUUCUCCAGUAAAUCCUCUGAUGUUUACAUAGGCUUAAUUUUAGCCUAAAUAUUUCUCCACAUUUAUUGCAUCUACAAAUUCUCUUCUAAUAUAAACUCUCUAGUGUUUCUUAACCUGCAGUUUUUGAACAGAUGUUUUUCCACAUUUAUUACAUUUGUCGUAUUUCGCUCCAAUGUAAAUUCUCUGAUGUUGAACAAAGUUUGAGCAACUGCUUCUGAGUCUUCCGCUAGUACAAAAUGUGUACAGUAAGAUCCAGGAUACAAGUACAGGUACUACACCCUCUUUAUAUUUGUAUUGUCUGUCUUAAGAAUACUCUUCUUCGCUUUAAUGGCCUAUAUUUUCUAAAAGGUCUUUCAACAGAAAUUACAUUUAUAAUGCUUUUGUUAACCAUAAAUUCUGAUAUCUGGUAAGAUGUGAGUAGAAAUUAAUGGCUUUUGUAUUUUUAUAUUUGUGCAAUUAUUCUCAUGUAUAAAUGCUAUCACAUGCAAAAAGAUAUGAGCAUUGAUUAAAAGUUUUGCCACAU
rnacentral:lncRNA from 10 species